UACGUAGGGUGCAAGCGUUAAUCGGAAUUACUGGGCGUAAAGCGUGCGCAGGCGGUUUUGUAAGUCUGUCGUGAAAUCCCCCGGGCUCAACCUGGGAAUUGCGAUGGAGACUGCAAGGCUGGAGUCUGGCAGAGGGGGGUAGAAUUCCACGUGUAGCAGUGAAAUGCGUAGAGAUGUGGAGGAACACCGAUGGCGAAGGCAGCCCCCUGGGCCAAGACUGACGCUCAUGCACGAAAGCGUGGGGAGCAAACAGG
rnacentral:rRNA from 1 species